CUGGCUCAGGAUGAACGCUAGCGGCAGGCUUAACACAUGCAAGUCGAGGGGCAACGCGAGUAGCAAUACUUGGCGGCGACCGGCGCAAGGGUGCGUAACGCGUGAGCAACAUGCCCGUAUCAGGGGGAUAAUCCAGGGAAACUUGGUCUAAUACCCCAUAGUAAUUUUGUAAGGCAUCUUAUAAGAUUUAAAGCUUUGGUGGAUACGGAUUGGCUCGCGUGACAUUAGCUGGAUGGUAAGGUAACGGCUUACCAUGGCUAUGAUGUCUAGGGGUUCUGAGAGGAAGGUCCCCCACACUGGAACUGAGACACGGUCCAGACUCCUACGGGAGGCAGCAGUGAGGAAUAUUGGACAAUGGAUGGAAAUCUGAUCCAGCCAUGCCGCGUGAAAGGAAGAAGGUCCUAUGGAUUGUAAACUUCUUUUGUAUGGGAGCAAUAAGGCCUACGAGUAGGUUGAUGAGAGUACCAUACGAAUAAGCACCGGCUAACUCCGUGCCAGCCGCGGC
rnacentral:rRNA from 1 species